CUUAAAGGAAUUGACGGGGCCCGCACAAGCGGUGGAGCAUGUGGUUUAAUUCGACGCAACGCGAAGAACCUUACCAGGGCUUGACAUCCCCUGACCGCGUAUGAAAGUACGUUUUCACCUCGGGUGACAGGGAGACAGGUGGUGCAUGGUUGUCGUCAGCUCGUGUCGUGAGAUGUUGGGUUAAGUCCCGCAACGAGCGCAACCCCUACGUUUAGUUGCUAACGCGUGAAGGCGAGCACUCUAGACGAACUGCCGUUGACAAAACGGAGGAAGUGGGGAUGACGUCAAAUCAUCAUGCCCCUUAUGUUCUGGGCUACACACGUGCUACAAUGGCCGGUACAGACGGACGCAAAGCCGCGAGGUGGAGCAAAUCCUAAAAAGCCGGUCUCAGUUCGGAUUGCAGGCUGCAAUUCGCCUGCAUGAAGUCGGAAUCGCUAGUAAUCGCAGGUCAGCAUACUGCGGUGAAUACGUUCCCGGGCCUU
rnacentral:rRNA from 1 species